rnacentral:rRNA from 1 species
CAAUACAAGGCAGACGGCUCAGUAACACGUAGCCAACCUACCCUAUGGACGGGGAUAACCUCGGGAAACUGAGGAUAAACCCCGAUAGAUCAUUAUACCUGGAACGGUUUAUGGUCCAAAUGAUUCGUCGCCGUAGGAUGGGACUGCGGCCUAUCAGCUUGUUGGUGAGGUAAUGGCCCACCAAGGCUAUUACAGGUACGGGCUCUGAGAGGAGAAGCCCGGAGAUGGGUACUGAGACACGGACCCAGGCCCUAUGGGGCGCAGCAGGCGAGAAAACUUUGCAAUGUGCGCAAGCACGACAAGGUUAAUCCGAGUGUUUCCUGCUAAAGGAAACUUUUGCUACUCCUAAAAACACUAGCGAAUAAGGGGUGGGCAAGUUCUGGUGUCAGCCGCCGCGGUAAAACCAGCACCUCAAGUGGUCAGGAGGAUUAUUGGGCCUAAAGCAUCCGUAGCCUGCUUUGUAAGUUUCCGGUUAAAUCCAUUAGCUCAACUGAUGGGCCGCCGGAAAAACUGCAAAGCUAGGGAGUGGGAGAGGUAGACGGUACUCGGUAGGAAGGGGUAAAAUCCUUUGAUCUAUCGAUGACCACCAGUGGCGAAGGCGGUCUACCAGAACACGUUCGACGGUGAGGGAUGAAAGCUGGGGGAGCAAACCGGAUUAGAUACCCGGGUAGUCCCAGCUGUAAACGAUGCAGACUCGGUGAUGCCCUGGCUUGUGGCCAGUGCAGUGCCGCAGGGAAGCCGUUAAGUUUGCCGCCUGGGAAGUACGUACGCAAGUAUGAAACUCAAAUGAAUUGACGGAACCCGAAUUCUGCAGAU